CGGCGUGCUUACACAUGCAAGUCGAACGAACCUUCGGGUUAGUGGCGGACGGGUGAGUAACGCGUGGGAAUCUGCCCUCAGGAGGGGGAUAACGGUUGGAAACGGCCGCUAAUACCCCAUAUGCCGCGAGGUGAAAUGAAUUUCGCCUGAGGAUGAGCUCGCGUCUGAUUAGCUAGUUGGUGUAGGUAAUGGCUCACCAAGGCAUCGAUCAGUAGCUGGUCUGAGAGGAUGAUCAGCCACACUGGGACUGAGACACGGCCCAGACUCCUACGGGAGGCAGCAGUGGGGAAUUUUCCGCAAUGGGCGAAAGCCUGACGGAGCAACGCCGCGUGAGGGAUGAAGGCCUCUGGGCUGUAAACCUCUUUUAUCAAGGAAGAAGAUCUGACGGUACUUGAUGAAUAAGCCA
rnacentral:rRNA from 1 species